GGGCGGUUAGCUCAGCCGGUAGAGCAUCGGUCUUACACGCCGGUGGCCGCGGGUUCGAAUCCUGCACCGCCCA
rnacentral:tRNA from 2 species